AAUGAACGUUGGCGGCGUGGAUUAGGCAUGCAAGUCGUACGGGCCGCAAGGCCAGUGGCGCAAGGGUGAGUAAGGCGACGGUAACCAACCCCCGGGACUGGGAUAGCGGCGGGAAACUGCCGGUAAUACCAGAUGAUAUCUUCGGAUCAAACGUGUGAAACGGCCCGGGGAGGUGACCAUGUCCUAUCAGCUAGUUGGCGGUGUAACGGACCACCAAGGCUAAGACGGGUAUGGGGCGUGAGAGCGUGCCCCCACUCACUGGGACUGAGACACUGCCCAGACACCUACGGGUGGCUGCAGUCGAGAAUCUUCGGCAAUGGGCGCAAGCCUGACCGAGCGACGCCGCGUGCGGGAUGAAGGCCUUCGGGUUGUAAACCGCUGUCGUAGGGGAGGAAGAUCCUGUGAAGAACAGGGUUUGACCGAUCCUAGGAGGAAGGGACGGCUAACUCUGUGCCAGCAGCCGCGGUAAUACAGAGGUCCCAAGCGUUGUUCGGAUUCACUGGGCGUAAAGGGUGCGUAGGUGGCCAGGUAAGUUUGGUGUGAAGGCUCGGAGCUUAACUCCGAAAAGUCAUUGAAUACUAUCUGGCUGGAGGGUCGGAGGGGAGACUGGAAUUCUCGGUGUAGCAGUGAAAUGCGUAGAUAUCGAGAGGAACACCAGUGGCGAAAGGCGAGUCUCUGGACGACUCCUGACACUGAGGCACGAAAGCUAGGGGAGCAAACAGGAUUAGAUACCCUGGUAGUCCUAGCCGUAAACGGUGGGCGCUAGGUGUGGGGGCCAUUCCACGGUCUCUGUGCCGUAGCUAACGCAUUAAGCGCCCGCCUGGGAGUACGGCCGCAAGGCUAAA
rnacentral:rRNA from 1 species